rnacentral:rRNA from 1 species
CUCCUACCGGGGGGCAGCAGUCGGGGAAUUUUGCGCAAUCGGGGGAAAACCCUGAACGCAGCAACGCCGCGUGGAGGAUGAAAUAUCUUGGUAUGUAAACUCCUUUCGAUCGGGGAAGAUAAUGACGGUACCCAUAGAAGAAGACCCCGGCUAACUUCGUGCCAGCAGCCGCGGUAAUUC